UUAAGCUACUGUCAGAUAUACAGAACCAUCAAAACUAUGCACUGAACAAACUCAAUGUGGAUCAUAAAGGAGAUUUCAGGAUUACAGCAGGACUACAUAAAUAUGCCUGUAAUCUCACACUGGAUUCAAACACGGCAAACACUCAUCUAAUUCUGUCUGAUGAAAACAGAAAGGUGACA